GGCAUCCAAAAUGAAGGAAGGUUCCAGUGGGGACGGGGCAAUAUUGCUGCCCUAAGUCCAGCCCCCGGGGGUGAGGGGUCUGCCUUGUGAGGGAAGCACAUGGGAUGCGAACUAGGUCUUGCGGGGGGGCUGCUGGACAGACGCUGCUGCCUUCACGGCCCUUCACAGUCUGAUUUCCUCUGUGCAAAAUGAAGACCUUUGUCUUUACGAGUACCCUCCAUGACUGAGUUUCUCCAAGGGUCUAAAAGCCAAGGUCACCAACCAGUAGGAGGCCUGGGGCCGGAGCCCCCCGUUUCCCAGGUGACCGUCAGGAGACUGGCCAGAGAUCGGGUGAGCUGGUCUUCCCAGAGACAGGACCAGGGUCCCCGAGACGCACUGGUCUGUCCUUCCCCUAACCCGAAGCGGGAGCGAGCCCAGGAACAAGACCAUUGUCAAGGCCUGACGUCGUCCACACCACCCCCGUUGUUCUACAGAUGGGGAAACCGAGGGGGAGGAGGAGUCCCCUGGCAAGGGCGCGGAGCUCGCCGAGGGCCGAGCCGGUCGCCUCCCAUCCCACCGCCGCCCACGGCAACUUGGCCCUCGUGAGAGCCUGAAGUGGCCCUUCCGCUCCAGGCUGCCGGGAUACCUGUGUCACCGAUGGCAACGUCACCCUCUCAACAGCCACGCGAGGAGGACACAGUAAAGGAAUUCAAAGCGAUGAUUACCCUUCCAGAAUGCCCCUGUUGACAUUUUCCAAAAUGAAGUCACGCCCGCAGCCCGAAAGAACCCGCAGAGGAAGAGCAGGUCCGGCUCUGACCUCAGAGAGCCAGCAACUCGUGGAAACAGCCAGAUGCCAUUCUGAGCCAAGCCCAGCGGGGCUGCUGCCGGGCCAACCCAGGUCAUCCAUCCGAGUGACCACAAAACAACGAAGCCCAUCUUCCCCUGCACCAUUACUGGCCUAGAGAAGGUUCCAGAAGAGAGGCUGCAAACCUGUUUCCAGUGAAAGUGGCACCGCCGGGUAAGGAGACACCCUCCGGGGGGACAAGGCAACUCGCUGGGAAAGAUGGACAUUCAGCACACUGCUGAGGACAUUCACGUGCCUGGUCUCAUCAUCUGCCUGAAAGGGUUCGGGCCGCAACCACCAAGCUCAGCCAUGUCCGUGGCUUUGCAGAUGCUGUUCCCUGUGCUCUUCCUGCUGUCUCCAUCCCACCUGGCCCUCUGGGGCCCUUUGCUCCCUCCUAUGGUCACCGAGCCACGGGCCCCCUCGUGCCCCACCUUUUGUCGCCUCGUCCCCACCCCAGCACCCAGAUUGCGAGCCUCUAGAGGUCACUGGUCAUGUCUUUCCAUUUCUGUGUCUCUGUAGCCCCAAGUAGUUGUGCAAGCUGGCAGGGAUUCAGGAGGACGAAGAGGGAUGUUUGCAACAGCGCCCCCCCCCUUGCCUCUGAGUCCUGGGCCGGCCGCAGGGCUGGGGUUUUGCACCUCAGUUUCCUGAUCUAUAAAAAGAGGCGUGGGAUGGCAGGUACCAAGGGCCCCUCCAAUUCUGUUGUUUGUGGGUUUUCUCAUGGAGGAAGCUGGAGAGUGGGAGAGGCCGGGGGAGGCCCAGAGAGCCCCCCACUCUGUUCCCCUCAUGCAGUGAAGGGGCAGCUUCGUCCACAGCGGCCAGGGCCGUUCCCGGGCUCCACGGUGUCCCAGGGAAGGCAGCAGAGGUGGGCGGGAGGGCAUGGGAGGACAGGCUUUCACUGACCAUCCAGCCCAGCAAAGCUAGAAACCGUCAAAAAGUAAAAAUUCCAUUUGUAAACAA